rnacentral:rRNA from 1 species
UACAUAGACCUCAAGCGUUAUCCGGAUUUACUGGGCGUAAAGCGUGCGUAGGUGUUUUUUCAAGUCUCUGGUGAAAUCUCCGGGCUCAACUCGGAAACUGUCAGAGAAACUGGAAGAAUUGAGUAUCGCAGAGGCAGACGGAAUGCUAGGUGUAGCGGUAAAAUGCGUAGAUAUCUAGCAGAACACCGAUGGCGAAGGCAGUCUGCUGGGCGAUCACUGACACUGAGGUACGAAAGCGUGGGGAGCGAACGGG